rnacentral:rRNA from 1 species
GGAUUCCCCUAGUAACUGCGAGUGAACAGGGAUUAGCCCAGCACCGAAGCCUGUGGUUAUUUGACUGCAAGGCAAUGUGGUGUUUAGGUUUGUUCUUGGCAUUACUGCUCUGCCCCAAGUCCAGCAAUGAGUACGGCAUACCGUUCUGGCCCAUAGAGGGUGAAAGGCCCGUGGGGGUAGAGACCAAGCAUGACAGUUUUGUCCAGAGCUUACCUUGGAGUCGGGUUGUUUGAGAAUGCAGCCCAAAGUGGGUGGUAAACUCCAUCCAAGGCUAAAUACUUGCACGAGUCCGAUAGUAAACAAGUACCGUGAGGGAAAGUUGAAAAGUACUUUGAAGAGAGAGUAAACAGUGCGUGAAACCGCUCAGAGGUAAACGGGUGGAGUUGAACUGCGAUCCUUGGGAAUUCAGCUGAUGAGCAUGAUUUGUGCUUGGGCAUAUUGACCGCCUUUCAGUGUCUGCUUAGCUGCGGGUGCCUGCCUCUGGUGGGUAUGUGUGGUGCGCUUAUCAUGUGCCGCACGCAUUGGAGGGUGUAUGAGUCUGCUUGUCGGUGCACUUUCUCAGGGUGUUCACCACGACCGGCACUGCUGUCUGUCUGCUUUGGUCAAACUGAUCAGGUCUGAUUAACGUUGGGCUUGGUUGGGUUGGCAGGUGACUCACUGGUCCAUUCUGUGGGCUAUGAGUGUUACUAGCCGGCCUUAGUGGAUCUGUACGGUGUGUCGGAGACGGCGGCUUUGCAUAUGCGCUCUGUCCUUCAGGCGUGGUUGAGUCUGGUCGACUUGUUGCUAGUUUCGGCUGGUCAGUUGAUGGCUUGAUCAUGUUCAGUUGGCAGUGGUGUGUGUGUCUUAGUUUGGGCCAAUAGUCUGUGGUGUUGUGGUAGACUAUCCACCUGACCCGUCUUGAAACACGGACCAAGGAGUUUAACAUGUGCGCGAGUCAUUGGGCUUUACGAAACCCAAAGGCGCAGUGAAGGUAAAGGCUUGGCUUGUCCAGGCUGAGGUGAGAUCCUGUUGUUUUGCUCAUUCAUUCCAAGCUGCGAGCAGCAGGCGCAUCACCGGCCCGUCCCAUGACGUAGACAUGUGGCCUUGUGCUAUGUGCACCGUCGGGGCGGAGCAAGAGCGUACAUGUUGAGACCCGAAAGAUGGUGAACUAUGCUUGCGAAGGUUGAAGCCAGAGGAAACUCUGGUGGAGGACCGUAGCGAUUCUGACGUGCAAAUCGAUCGUAUAACGUGAGUAUAGGGGCGAAAGACUAAUCGAACCAUCUAGUAGCUGGUUCCCUCCGAAGUUUCCCUCAGGAUAGC